UUUUUGGUUAAUAAAGUUUUUAUUUUCCCUCUGUUACUUUUAUGGCUUGUCUGUUUUCUUUCUCAGUCAUUUCAUAGAUUAGAUUUGAGCAAAGCCACAAUAUGUUUUCUCAUGUGGUCCGUCAUCACACCUUGGUGAAACUCAGAUCGGGCAAUUCUGUGACAAGAUCUCACGGGUAGCUUGAUGCAGUCCUGCUCUUGAGGACAUCUCGAAGGGAGCCUGUUCCACCAGUCCUGCCUCACUUGCUCCCAGGGACUGAAGCUUCCAGUGCACUAAGCAAGGGACCUUUGAUUUCCAAUUUCCUGAGCCAAGAUCCACAUGCCUUCUGUCUUGGAGAUGAGGCUUCGAGAGCUCAUAUCCCACACCUGGAAUGAGAUGAGAACCGGGCUCCUUGAGAACUGGGCUCCUCCAGUGACUGGGGUUUCUAGUGGCCUACCCUAUUGAGUUGUCAUGGGGUGGUGUGCACAUGUGGCAUUCACCACAGGGCUGGGAAAUGCCAAGUGAUGAUGCUGAAUGUGCCAGUGUGGUAGGAUGGCAGAGCUACUGGGGUCCUUGCCCUGACAGCAAGAUGGUCUUUCCUGGCGGAAAUGUUUAUGUCCUGGAGUGAGCGUCUGAGCCAAGCCUGUGCUUGAGGGAGUGGGAGACUGAGGGUGAGACCCAGGCAGGUCGGCCUGUGUCUGAGUGAGUGGAACGGGGUGACUGAGCAGCACUCUGGCUGUGGAGGGUGGGGUGACAGGAGCCGUGACCAGAGGGGCUGCCCUGGGGGACAGCAGGUGGACCUGUGGGUGUCACUGAGGGAGUGGGCUGCAGUGGGUGUGGAAAGGAGAGCAGGAUGGUGUGGAGAGCAGAGUGGUGGCUCUGUGGUGGAGGGGAACAUUCCGUCACUAAAGAGGAAGCUGGUGAACAACAACAAAGCGGCCUGAGUGCCCGUCACACACCGUCCACGUCAGCUGGGGCCGCUGUGACAAAGCCUGGCCCGCUGGCAGCUCCACCAGCAGACCUUUACCAUCUCACGGUCUGGAGGCUGGAAGUCCCAGAUCUAGGCGUCGGCGGGGUUGGUUCCUUCUGGGGGCUCUCUCCUGGGCUUGCGGACGGCCCUCUCUUCCCCGUGUCCUCACAUUGUUUUCCCUGUGUGUGUGUCUUGUCCACAUUUCCCCUGUUUAUAAGGACGCUGGUCAUACUGGAUAGGGCCCACCCUAAUAAGCUCGUUUUAACUUGAUGACCUCUGUAAAGGUCCUCUUCCAAAUAGGGUUGCAUUCUGAGCUGCUGGGGGCUAGGACUUCAGCCUUUGAGUUUUGGGGGAUGCUAUUCAACCCCUGCAGGUACAUAGAUUGUGAAGCUCUGGGCUACAUAGUAACCAGUGGUGCUUUGGAAAAAUCAGUGCCUACAGGUGUAGGAGGGGGCAGGGAAAGGAGCUUGGGGACAGACCCUCCCCGUGAAUGGUUUGCAGCUGCUUUUGUGACUGUCAAUCUUGGGACUAUGUUGAAGCCACUGUGCCUGUUCUCUGUUCUGGGCUGGGGACGGGACCUCCUGGCUCUUCGUAGGGUCCCCAGGACACCUCCCUGCAGAAAGUUCUGGGCAUUCCUCUUUACUUGUGGCAUGCUAUGCCGUUUCUAGGGCAAACCUCCAAAUUUGGUUUUUCAACAGUUUUCACCUGCUGUGGCCACAAACAAGUAGGCAAGUGGACACUCUGCUUUUCUUGGAUGAGUAGAGGCGGAUGGUGGAAGGAGGGCUGCGCGGCUACGUGGGCACCUUCUGCGGUUGGAAUUUCUAGACUUGCUUCUUACUCUCUUCUGCACCAGUUCUUGGUAGAUUUUUCUUGCAUAACUAUUAACAAGUGGCAAAAUCUAAUGAAAAAGUGCAUCUGACCCUGAUCUGAGGUCUUCUUUGUUUCGAGGUCAUCCCCCUUGUUAAUGGCAGUCGUUUCUCUUCUGCUUCUCUGUGGGCAGAUCCACUGGGCGUUCUUUUAUAGGUGACCUCCACUUGGAAACAUUCUCUGUCCUUCUCUCUUGUAGCCAUCACCUGUGUGUCCUCUCCUGGCUUUUCUUUCUGUGUCCAUCCUCUAAAUGCCAAGGGCUGGGGCCAGUCUGCUCCCUUCCCCCCGUGCCCCCUGCCUCAGCUUUCAGGCUCUUGUGGAAGCUGCAAGCUCCCAGAUACUCAUCUCUGGUCCAGAUACGGCCACGACAAGGUUCUCCUUUCCCUUGGAGACACUCCCGCGGUCAUCUUGACAUCUCCAGGCAGCUUCUCUCUAAUUGCUGUUGCUGCCCAGGAGGGGUUAUGUGGCCUUCGUAGGUGCCAGGGAGCUGGAGCCUGAGGACCAGGGACGCUGGCCUCUCUGAGGGGAGGACAGGAACCUGCACCAUCCCAGGUUCUAUCCGGAAGGGAAGAGGCGGAGGGAAGGGGGGGUGGGUUUGCGGAUGGGUUCCCAGGGGAGCCAGGGUCAAUCUGGAAGCCUGGAACAUUGGUGCAAACGCUCCAAAGGGAAAGAUAAUAAGCGUUCCAGCCCUGGCACCUCCAGGUAGGUCACAAAUCCUCAGGGGCCACAAAUGGCCCGGUGUGUGCAGCAUGAUGGAGGUAGCCUUGCUGAAACACCGGCUGCUCUACCCCGGGAAGUGUAACCUCAGAGGACAGAACCCCAGCGAGGGGAUCAUGGCUGCAGCUUAUAUUGCCUGGUGUGAUCUCAUUUGCACGGAGCACUUUCAAGUCUGUUUAUUCUUCUGUCUUUUCAACCCUGGCUGCAUGUGCUGGAAUUUCCUGGGGUCCCAGUCCCGGGGUUCUGAUUGCAUUGGUCUCUGUGAGGCCCUGGCAUCCAUCUUGCUCAAAUUCCCCAGCUGAUUGCCAUGUGCAGGCAGCACUCCUCUGAUCUAGUCUGCCCCCUGCCUUUUUCAGAAGGACUUGGGGCUUAGGCAGCUCAUGAGCCCCGCCUGGAGCCAUCCUCUUACUCUGGGGCUGGUACAGCCUGGCUGGAGGAGGUCCCUGACUCCCCAAAUAUGAGGCGACGGUGGUGAGCUCACACAGGGGAGGCCUGGAUCAGGCACGCAGACCUGAAGAUGACAGCUGUCUUUGAAAUCUUUUUUUCUUUUUACUUAAAAAUUAAUAUGAAUUUUGAUUGUUCUCUAUUACAAAGCCAUGUUUGUUUUGAUUUUUUAGAUUUCCCCUCGAAUUUUCAGUUAAUAAAAAAAACCCACUGCCUGGGAAGAUGGACAGGUUUCCCCUGUGGCUCCUGACUCAUCUAGCUCCAGUCACACACACAUGCAUACAGGCAAAGACACACAGACACACACACACACACACACACACAUAGAUGUGCACAGAGACAUAUACACAGACACACACACACUCACACACAGACUUCUCCCCCUGCCUCGGGACCUCACGGGGAGGAGAGUGAGAAGCGUGUGCAUUCUCUGUGUGGCUACGAGGUGCCCCGGAGGUGGAGGAAUCAGAAGCCUGGGGAGGAGAUGGAAGCAGACGGGUGCCGGCUGAGCUUCUGUGGUGUGAUUGUUUUGUUCCUGUGCUUUAUCAGUUCUUGCCCCAUUAAAGGCGUAAACUGUGCUUCAUCGGAACUAAGCCCUGGGCUGGUGCAUCGUGAGUCCCCAGCGCCCCGGCGCUCUGCUCCUUGCCCCUGGCCCACCCCUCCGUGGGCUGCAUUGGAAGCUUCCCUCGCAUCCCCGAAGCCCACCUGGCCCAGGUGAUUCCCGGUGGUAGGCACGUCCCUGAAGCUGGACCACCAGGCUCCUCGCUGGUGUUGACGCUGGGAAGGAGGGGUGACGUCUUCCGGGUCUGCUUGGGCAGGGCUGUGGGAGCAGUGGGGAUAUAUUUUCUUCAUGGAGCAGAAAGGAGGGUGCCAUUUUCCAGAACAGAGAAGGUGACGUGGACACACAGAGAAGAGCAGAAAGGAGAGGCAGAGAGCGGAUUCUGCAGGCCCGAGAGGUCCUCUUUCAGAACGUCCGCAGCUCCGCCGGUCGGAGGCAGGGAAGUGACCCAGGGUCCGGGGUCAGAGUUCGCUAGCGUUGAUUCCCGCUGAGUUGGUUGCAUCUGUUCCAACUCAGAGAGGCUGAAGUGCUUACUCCUGGAGCUCUGGGGGCGUCUCUUCCCCACUCUGGGUGGUGUUGUGUGUUUCCAGGCUGCCUUAGUCCUUCGGGCUGCUGUAACACAAUGCCACGGACUGGGGUGCUGACAGACGACCGACAUUGAUUUCUGGCAGUUCUGGGGGCUGGGAGCCCGAGACCCUGAGAUCAGGGUGCCGGCGUCGUCGGGUUCUGGCGAGAGCCCUCUGCCAGGUUGCAGAUGGCCACCUUCUCCAUGUCCUCACUUGGUGGAAGGGGCGAGGGAGCUCCCUGGGCCUCUUGUAUAAGGCCACUGAUCUCAUUCCUGAGGGCCCCACCCUCAUGACCUAGUCACCUCCUGAAGGUCCCAUCUUCUGAUACCAUCUCAUUGGGGAUUAGGUUUCAAAUGUGAAUUUUGAGGGGUCGCAAGCAUUCAGACCAUAGCACGAGUCCACCGGGGCGGCUGCAAAGUGCCCCUAAGUUCUGCCCCCAUUCUUUCUGUUUUCUCUUGUAUAAAAGGGUUAAACUUAUCUACAACCAGCUCAGGCAGUUGUUCCAGUUCCUUCUACAGAGAGCCACGGGGGUUUCCUCUGUAACAAGUUCUUCCCCCCUCUGCCCCAGAGGGCUCUGUUAGGAACGAUUUAGUGUACUCGGUAUCUGGUGUCCAGGCAGCAUGAGGUGCUCAGCGGGGGAGGGCUGGCAGUGCCACUUAGGGGAAGUGAGUGGCUGUGGUGGGGUUGAGGAAGAGGAUUCGUGGGGACGUGUGGCCUUUUGUUCUGGUUAAAGAUAUUACAAGUGAUACUAGUGCAUGGAGAGUGUUGUUAAGAAACGUUGAGUGUUUCUGCCCAACUUGAAUGAAAGAAAGGCAUUUAGCUGUGCAUAUCAAAGAAUAGAAAUCUGUCAUCUUAGAGGUCACUAAUUUACAGUUAUGUGACACAGAUUUGAGUAAUCAGAGGAUUUGAUCACCAGGCAUGUGAAACCUAUACAAAUGUUGGUCGACGUUCUUGGAAAGAAGUCAAACUUUGAGACUGUUUGAGCAAGUCAUGACUCUUUAAAGGUUGCCACAAACUGAAUUGAUUUAGUUUGGCAGAAACUACAAAAACAAACAUGGAGUUUAGAAAAGCAGAGGCUCAUGUGAUCACAACUCUGGCCCCGGAGAAAAGGAAAUGCUUCAUAAAUUGCACCGUGGACCAGCUUGCUAGGCUCCCUCCCCCCACCUGAUAAUUUUAAGAUCGUCUGGAACAGCUAUAAACAAAAGCUGGAGACGCUGAAACAGCCUCAUCGGCCCCUCCCCCCUCUCCUGCUUUCUUUCCCCUCCUCCCGUUAAUAACCCGCUGGGCUUGUGGUUUCUUUCUGCUUUUACUCCCUAAGUAAAUCUUCAUCAUGGUAGUUAAACCUGGCCUUGACUGUUCCUCUGUUUCCAUGGAUACCAGAUGGGGCCUGGGCUUUGCAAGAUGGCUGCAGCACUGCCCAGAUCCAGAGGGGCCGUGGUGCUGCGUCCCUGGGCAUCAGCACCUAGACCAGGGGGACUGAGGGAGGCCCCUUCUUGGGGCCAGGCUCGUGCCUGCCAGCUCAACCGCAGAAGUGAAGCAGAAGUGAAGUUGGCCAAGACUGAGGCCAAGGGCCUCGCCAGCAUCGAGCUUCCAGGAUGAGUUGCCUGUUGUGUUUGAAGUGGGGAAAUGCAUGGUGGCUUCAAAGUAAUCCAGAUGCAUUGGCGGUCAGUUAAAAUACAUUUUGUCACAUUUUUAGGAAAGUCAAAAAAAUAAUGUCAACUUAAAAUAAAAAGUACAAUUUGCUAGUGAGUGGUUAUAAGUGUUUCAUAAGUCCCAUUUAUAAGUGUCUUUUCUUUUUGAAGUUGGGUUCAAAACCAGUAACAAAUGGUAAAUCAUGGUCAUUGACUUACUGUGCUGUGUUCUUGCUUCUUUGUCUCAUGUUUAAAUUCCCUGUGGGUUGUCAUGUCAUUUCCCUUGAAUAUACACAACCCACCAAUUCUCGAGGGGAGUAGAGGCCAUAAACAGCUAAAAAAACAUACAAAGGAUUGAGGACAGAGGUGAGGCAAUGAAGACGGACUGUGAGGGGAUGUGACAGAGUGAUGGGGCCUGGGGACCGGGGGAUGCUUUCAAGGAGGUGGCAUGGAAGGCUAAGCAGGGGCUCAUGUAUGGAAAGCAGGCCAGCGUCUUCUGGCAGGAAAGGGUAGACCAGGGCCAGCAAGGAGGGCAGGCAGCUGCUCUGGAAGGAGAGGAGGCCUGCCACAGUGAGGACUGGCCUUUGCAGCGGGUGGUGAGGGCUGGGGGCUGCAGUUGAAGUGGGGUGGGCGGCUCCUUGGAGGGUUGGAAGCAAGGAAGUGACAUCAUGGGAUUUAUCUUUUGAAAGGACCCCUCUGGCUAUGUGCUAACAGAUGGGUUAGGGUGGUUGAGUGUGGAAGUAGGGAGCCUGUGUGGAGGCCAUGUUGGUGGGCCAGAACAAGGAUGGUGGGGUAGGGGAGAAGGAGAGAAGGAACUGGCUUUCGGACCUGUCCUGGGGGUGGAACUGGACUCCUGACACACUGGUGGCUAGGAGUUAGGGGAGGUUAGAGCAAGAUGAUGGCUGGUGUUUGCCUUGAACAACUGGACCAAAGGUGAGACUGUUCAUCAGUUAUUAAGAAGGUUUUUAAGAGAGGGAAGCCGUGCGCUCUUAGAGUUCUACAAGGCUGUCUGUUGUCAGUGGCCCGUGGCUGUGAGCCUACUGAGAGAAGGGCCGUGGAGAGCAGGUGUAAGGGCAGCCCGUCCCCUGUUGGUGGUUAUUGCUUUUGUGUUGUUGCUGUUGGACUUUUGAAACAUACCCAUCUUUCAGACAUCUGGGUGUUGCCUAGGGAUUUGGUGAUUUCCUCCUAAUCAAUUAAAAAGGGCCCCCAGAGCUACUCUGCAUUGCAAAGUGGUCCUUUUUGAUUUCUUUGGCAUUCCAUCAAAAUAGUUUUGGUUUGCAGGGAAUUUACAUGAUGUUUACAUGAAGUUUACAUCAGUUUCUCAAAGGCUGACAGUCGAGGUGCUGUCACAUUUUCCGUCAGGAAUACCCCUCGAUAGCCAGCAGGCAAUUUCUGAGCUAAGAACAGUAUUUACACUGUUUAUUUGAGGAUUAGUAAAAAUCCUGUAAUUCUCUAUGAGCCUGUCAGAAGCAAGAGGAGCUUGAUUUAAGGCCUCAGUCUUGAGCAGAAUGCAUUCGUUUCACCUAUAAAUAGUUAAUGUUCUCUUUUAAGCACCUUUUCUGACCCUUGUAUUCUAAUUGCCUUAAAGUUUAUUUUUCAAACCGUGUGAUAACUUUUAUUAUGAAUGAAAAUGCCUGUGGUUUCUUUGCGACUGAGAGGGAGCUGUAGGACUCUGCAAUAACCGCUCAUCAGAGAGCAGUCCUUUUCUGUACGCCAUGAAUCUGUAAUGGGGCAUCUUGGAAGCCAUAGAUCAUUUUCAAAUGUAAUGCGUAUCAUUUAUUAUGGAAAAGGGUAGUUGACAUUAUUGGAUUUCCUCCUUGAAAGUUAAUCUAUAUACCCAUGAUGUUUUUCUUAAACCCAUUACACAAGUAGCCUUUCACAAUUCACUGGAAGAAUUAAAUUGCUUGCAUUCGCCAAUCCUGACUUAGAACCGUUGUCAUUUUUCUGUGCUCUGUUUUCUGAACAGGUGCUGAGAGAGAACUUUGCUGGGUGGCACACACUUGACCAGGCACUCUGCAAGAACAGUUUAUUUCUCAUCCUUUCCUGUGACUGCAGGAAGCGGGGAGGACUGUCACCGAACAGAUGAGCCCCGUGGGUGAUGAGGAAGGGUACUCAGUGAGUUGAGCUGUGGAAACCAGCAGGGCCUGGGUUUGAAAUCAGUGUUCUUUGUUUUGUUUUUCAAAUUCCAAAGCCUCAGUUCUUAUUUUACAAUCAAGCUUCGGGUAAUCGGUACACACCCUAUCUCCUUUUCCUCGGAGUUCCAUUGUAUUCCCACCAUCGUCCAGAUCCUUGAGCUGCAGGAAGGAACCCUGUCACUUUUAGCUUACAGGGAAGGAAUUAGGAGCACUGAUGGAGUUCCUAAACCUCAGGGGAACGGAAGUGAACUUUUUUUUAAUGUGGUCCAAAGUGUGGUCCUUAGGAGCUGGUCUGCUUUAGCAGUAUUGCUUAUAGCGAUGUUCUCCUUUUGUUUUCUGUCUAGAAGUCAGGCUUGUUGGCGGUGCUGUGGUCACUGAGGGAGAACCCUGGAAGGUGACUAGAAUCUGGGAUGACUGCCAUACUGUCGCCUUCAGGAAGCCCCUGGAGCCUGUCAUAUCUGCAGGGCUGGUGCCCCUCCUCGGCAGAGCGCGCACAGGGCUGCGGUGGAGGCCAGAGGAUGUGUGCAUGGGAGUGGUUUUCUGUUCUCUGGGUGCUGACAAAGCUGGGCUGUUGCCCUCCAGACAUGGGAGAUGACUUCCAAGGGUAGAACUAUACCAAGGUUUCUUUUACUUUAAUUUCUUUCCCCUUGAACAUUUUUCUUCUUGACAGAACACCUCAUUUUGCAAUUUCUUCUCCUUUUGGAGAGAAAAUUCAGUGCCAUUCAGGAUUACUAUUGAGCACCCAUAGUGCCCACCAGGUCCUCAGCUCUGCUGUUCUGCCAUCUUUAAGUUUUCCCAGUGGAUUUUGCUUAUGUCCUUGUGUCCAAGGGCCUUGUCUUAACUGGGCUUGAGGAGCCCUCACAGUCCUGGGUCGUCAACACUCUCUCCCGUGGCCUGCAUGGUUACGAUGGGAUGCAUCAUAGGGAGGGUCAGAAGGGCCUAUUCAGAGAACUUUCUAGAGUGGGCCCUGACUUCAUACUGAGUGGUGCAUUGCAGCCAAGGGGACAGAAUCUUCUAGAAGACUGCUCUGGGCUCCGGGCAGGGACGAGUUGGGUUUCUGCGGUUGGAUGUUUUUUGAUAUCCCAUUGCUGUGUGGUUACUCAAGGAUCUAGAAAGCAGGCCUCACAAUGUGGGCCUAUUUACAAUUCACAAAGACCCUCUCUCACGUCAUAAUUUCCCCUCUGCCCAUUUAUUUGGCUCCUUUAAGCGUGUGGGUUCUGAGUGGUGUUCCACAGACGGCAAACCCGCCCCGACCCAGACGCGCCAGCCCCAAACAAUCUGGUUACUGUUUAAACAACCGGUGUAAAUAAUGAGUCCCUCCAUUCCUGGGAGUAUAAAUACAUUUAGACAAGUAGGAGUUCUGUCGAGUGAAAGUUUAGGUUAUGCAAAAACAGCAGCAGCUGUAAUUUGUAGGCCCUUGUAGAGAGAGGGGUGUGAGUGAUGUAAACUGGAGAAAGCCUGCGUUCCGUUUAUGUAUAUUUUGUCAUUGUGCCAAGAGGCUAACUUUGCUAUAUUCCCUUCGCUGUGAAUUAAUCUUGAGAGGGCAGCACCUGCCAGAAAUUCUUUUUUUUUUAGCCAAAAGUCAAUUUCGUACGGGUGGCUGGUGUUAACGAGCACCCUGGCAGGCCUGGGUUGGGGAUGACCGUUGACUUUGUGUGGGGAGCAGAGUUGGUUAGCUGCUCUUUUCCUAGCGCUGAGAAAAUAAUUAAAGGCAAACCCCAAAGGCGUGUGAUUAAGGUGAACUCAGCAGCAAGGAGACAGAGGCGCACGCACAGAAGAGCCGGUGGUGGCGCUGGGCCGGAGCCCCGUGCUUCCCGACUCUCGCAGCCACGGAGGCGGCUCAGCCAGCGGCGGCUCUGGUGGGGCCCUCCUGGGGAACGGGCAGAGCAAAGGCCCCCUCUUUUUAUUUUUUUGGCCAAGGUAGGAACUGUCUGAAGACCUAUAAAAUUAAGUGUUCUUUACAGGGAGAAACCGGCGAGGCGAGGGUCGCUGGUCGUGGGGGUUUACUGGGCCUUCUCCCCACGAUGCACCCGUCACGCCUUCCCGGCUCCGAUCCAAGGCCUGUUUGAGAGGGUCCCAGUGUGCGAGACGGCCACACACGUGUGUGUGCCUGACCCUCAGAGGCACAGAUCCCGCUUUAUGUUUCAAAGUAACAUUUCUGUCGAUUUUCACAGUCACUGUGGAUUUGUGGAUUAGCUUCUGAGGCCCCCGCCCAACGUCGCCUCCCACCCAGAUGCUCAGCCCAGCCUGGGGGCUGAGGACAUCUUUGCUUUAAGAUGACCCCUAGGGAAGGUGUCCGGAUCACGUGAUCUCAGCUAGCUGUUUGCCAAUUCUGCUCAUUUUCUUCCACGGCUCCACUUCCAGGAGACACGAGCUGCUGAUUCCACACGCACACACGAGGCACUGAAGGGGUGGUAUAGGUUUUAGUAGAAAUGAAGAGUCAGGUGAACUGAAGCCCAGGGCAGGCCAAACCUGAGUCUAGAGUCAGAGGGAGGCAGGCGCUUGCUGUGGGGGGCCUUCCCCUGACAGCCAGGCCCUCUUCUAAAGUGUGCCUGGGAUUUGUGUCCAUCAGGUAGGGUGAACGCCCUGAUGUGGAAAUGACUGUCCUGAAGAGAGAAGUUCGUAUCCUUGUGGAUUCCUCGAAACAGGAGGCAGGGCCUGCAGGGCCUCGUGGGGAGCACCAGGGUCAGGCAGAAGGCAGAGGGGACAUGUGGGCAGGAGCCUUUGUUAUGGGUUUCGUGGGAAGAAAUGGGUGAGGCCCAGUGAGCAGGCUGAGCAGCUUAGGGUGAGGGCCUGCCCUUGUUGUCUGGUCCCUGGCCCUGGUGAUGAGGGCAGGGCAAUGGGUGUGGGAGCCUGGGUUGGUUUGUGUAUUGGCCAGCCCUGUGGGGAUGGGGGGGCAGUCUCUCCAGGGUCUGCAGGCUCCACAUGUCAAAACAUCAAAAAUACCGAAGAUGAAAAGGAGUAAUUCAUACAGCCCCUUCCUCAGGGAGGCCUCUGCUGGAAAACAGCUGGACGGGGCACUUAGGGGAAGUGGUCAACUUUCCUCAGCAGGCUGAACACAGACUGCUCCCAGCCACAUCCAGGAGAAGGCUGUUCUCCCACGGGCCUGGGCUUUUCCUUGGUCCCUGUAUGUGGGCCCAGGUGCCCCGGAAGGACAUCUCAGGGCCAGCAUUCCCACUGCUCCCAUGUGACAGCCCCACAGGGGAGGGCUGCUAGCCCGUGGUCUGGUUGGGGAGCUGACGGCGCUGCAGGGCAGGGCAGGGGUUCUGUAGGUUCUUCCUGGGGGCAGUGCAGGAUGAGGGGGCUCAGUGUGGGUGAAUUCCAUGCAGAAGCCACUGCCCGCCAGCAUCCCCCAUCCUCCCAGCCACCCCUCCUUGGCCCCUUAGGCAACAGGGAAUGGGAGCUCUCCUCUCUGUUUGUCACUGUGCUUGGGUGAACUUUACCCACUCCCUAGUCCUUUGUGUGAGACUGCACAUUGUACUUCUGCUGGGGAAAGAGUCCAGAGGCACGCAACACGGAAUCAGCACCAUUCCCCCACCUUCCCCGAGAAGCUCUAACAAGCAUGUUGGGUGUUUGUUCUGGAAAUGCUCCUCCACGACAAGACAGCCUUUUCCUAUCAUUCCUAGUCUGUUAACUAUUAAAUUGCCAAAUCAUAAGGACAUUUGCUUGUAGUAGCAACAACAACGUAGACACAGUGACUGCAGAGCCCCAGGGGAGAGCAGGGUGCGUCCUGUGCAUUCAUGCCAUGGACUGUGCUGCUGCUGCUAAGAAGAGUGGGGUCGAGCUCUGUCAGUAUCGAGAAUACUUUUGGAGAAAAGAAUGGAAGGAUGCUUGGCAGGCUGUACAGUGGUUACCAGAUUAUUUGGAAUCAAAAUGUGAUCCAGGGGUUGGCCCCGUGGCCUAGUGGUUAAGUUCAGUGCGCUCUGCUUCGGUGGCCCGGGUUCACGGGUUGGGACCCUGAGUGUGGAC